CUUACCAUGCAAGUCGAACGGGAUCUUCGGAUCUAGUGGCGGACGGGUGAGUAACACGUGGGAAUCUGCCCUCAGGAGGGGGAUAACAUUCGGAAACGAGUGCUAAUACCCCAUAUGCCGCAAGGUGAAAUGAAUUUCGCCUGAGGAUGAGCCCGCGUCUGAUUAGCUAGUUGGUGAGGUAAUGGCUCACCAAGGCAUCGAUCAGUAGCUGGUCUGAGAGGAUGAUCAGCCACACUGGGACUGAGACACGGCCCAGACUCCUACGGGAGGCAGCAGUGGGGAAUUUUCCGCAAUGGGCGCAAGCCUGACGGAGCAACGCCGCGUGAGUGAUGAAGGCCUACUGGUCGUAAAGCUCUUUUGUCAGGGACGAAACCUGACGGUACCUGACGAAUAAGCAUCGGCUAACUCCGUGCCAGCAGCCGCGGUAAUACGGAGGAUGCAAGCGUUAUCCGGAUUUAUUGGGCGUAAAGCGUACGUAGGUGGCCAAAUAAGUCUGGGGUUAAAGCCUGCAGCCCAACUGCAGAAAAGCCUCGGAAACUAUUUAGCUAGAGUGCGGUAGGGGUAAGGGGAAUUCCCGGUGUAGCGGUGAAAUGUGGAGAUAUCGGGAAGAACACCAGCGGCGAAAGCGCCUUACUGGACCGCAACUGACGCUGAGGUACGAAAGCCAGGGGAGCAAAUGGGAUUAGAUACCCCAGUAGUCCUGGCCGUAAACGAUGGACACUAGGUGUUGCGCGUAUCGACCCGUGCAGUGCCGUAGCUAACGCGUUAAGUGUCCCGCCUGGGGGAGUACCGCACGCAGUGUGAACUCAAAGAUGACGGGGGCCGCACAGCGUGAAGCAUGUGUUAUCGAUGCACGCGAGACUACAGGACUGACUGUCAGAUCUCUGA
rnacentral:rRNA from 1 species